GCCCCCGUGGCCAAGCUGGUAAGGGGGACACCCCGUGAGCGUCAGGUCCCGAGUUUGAACCUGGAGGUGGGGGGA